UCCUACGGGAGGCAGCAGCUAAGAAUCUUCCGCAAUGGGCGAAACCCUGACGCAGCGACGCCGCGUGAGUGAGGAAGGCCUUCGGGUCGUAAAGCUCUGUCAAAGGGGAAGAAGUGCAUGGUGGUUAAUAUCUGUCAUGUUUGACGGUACCCUUAAAGGAAGCACCGGCUAACUCCGUGCCAGCAGCCGCGGUAAUACGGAGGGUGCAAGCGUUGUUCGGAAUCACUGGGCGUAAAGGGCGCGCAGGCGGUUUGAAUAGUCAGAUGUGAAAGCCCACGGCUUAACCGUGGAAGUGCAUUUGAAACUGUCAGACUUGAGUACCAGAGGGGAAAGUGGAAUUCCCGGUGUAGAGGUGAAAUUCGUAGAUAUCGGGAGGAAUACCGGUGGCGAAGGCGACUUUCUGGCUGAGUACUGACGCUGAGGCGCGAAAGCGUGGGGAGCAAACAGGAUUAGAUACCCUGGUAGUCCACGCCGUAAACGAUGUCACUAGAUGUAGGGGGUGUUGAUCCCUUCUGUGUCGCAGCUAACGCAUUAAGGUUGACCGCCUGGGGAGUACGGUCGCAAGAUUAAAACUCAGA
rnacentral:rRNA from 1 species